rnacentral:lncRNA from 1 species
AUUCCUUUGAGCUCUUGGAGUGAAGUAGCCCCUUUUUUGGCAGACAAAACUUUCUCACUUGCUUGAACGCUAUGAAGAAUUUGCCUAUGAUGGAAGUGCCUUUGCGAUCAUAAUGCCUCUCUCAGCAUGUGUCUCCAUCUUUAUUUCUAGCCAUGAGACCAUUAACUAAGUAUGUCAACAUGGCUCAACUGGAGAAGGGCUAAGCUUAUUGAGAGAGGGAAGAAUUGCUUGCUAAAGGAGGGUGGCUUCCUCCCACCACAUGGUGACAUUCCUGUUGUGUGAACACAGGAAUUCCAAGUGCCCAG